AUUCCAGGCUCUGUGAACUAAGUGACUGAAGCUGAUUGACACAGGUCAAGGGGACUUCAAGGAAGAAAGCCAGCCUUAGACUGACAUCAGAGAACCAAACUCCGGUGUCUAAGCUCAAGAGGUUAGAAUCCUGAGAACUGUUUGGAAUAAGGAAUCCAAAUAUUGUCUUCCAGCUUCACCUUGUCACGACAGUCCUCGCCAGGGACAGCUGAGCAUCUACAUCUCCAUUUAUGCCGUGUGCACGCAGUACCAACAGAGGUCAGAGGAGGGUGUCGGAUCCCCUGGAACUGGAGUCACAGAUUCUUCCUUGCGUGGAUGAAACAGUCCCAACGAACACUUUAAAAAGACAAAUGUUCCCGACAGCACUGGUUGAAUUCAAAACUCGGCAGAUCCAUGUUCUUAUCCUUAGACAAGAGAGGGGCCAUAACAAGAUGGAAUGACGGAACAGACGUGAGAGAUGAUGGUACAGUGACUCGGGUAACCCCAGAAAAGGGACAGCUCUUCUACAGCUCAGUGGGGACAGGGACAAAAAGAAACAAUUUCAUUUCAGUCCACCCAGAGGGUCUGCACUUCUCGGAGCCAGAAGGUGGAGAAGAGUAGGGAUGGAGGAAGUUCGAAGUUUUAGGAGUCUGCUCUUGGGUCCCUAGGCAUGAGGACAAGCUUUUCCUGUACUCAAUGCUCAUCUCUCAGUUGUGCCCACAUUGGUACACAUUACUUGCUUUCAACUGCUGCUGCUGCUGUUUCCUAAUUCAAUAAAGAUAUGGCUGGCUCAGCAGAGAGCUGUCAUCCAUCCCUGUGUGUGUUGAACCUUCAAGGCAGAACCCAGUUUCUGUGUCACAUCUUCAUCUCAGGCUCAACCAUUUGGGCUGGAGGUGCAGGGCAGACCAAAGAUG
ensembl:lincRNA Gm29154 predicted gene 29154